UGCAUAAUUAAAAAAAGAAAGCAAAAGCAAAAUCAAAAUCGAAACCAGACGAAGCCUCGACCUUUCCUUCUCAGUUCUCAUCGUCUCCGAACAACACCACGCACAAAAAAAAAACAGAUAAUUUGCGAGCUCAGAUUUGAAAAAUCGACGGUUGUGGAAGGAAGUGGAAUAGAGUAGCGGAGAUUGUUGCACGUACACGAAGAGAGAUAAACUCGGCGGGAAAUGGGGACGCCGUUGCCGGAUUUCGAGGCGGCGGAGGAGUAGCGUCUUCGUCAGCCACGGUGCUCACGAGCACUAAUACGUUCACGGAGGAUGCGUAGGAGAUAUCUCCGAUCCUGAUUUUCCUCUUCUUUCAUAAGGCGGUAUGCAGUGAGCUCGAAUCGCUUCAUAGGCUGGCGCUUGAGUUUGCUACAGGUCACCACGUUGAUCUCCGUCUCCUCCGUGAACGGUACCGGUUCCUUAGAUCCAUCUAUAAGCAUCACUGCAAUGCCGAGGACGAGGUGAUCUUUUCAGCUCUUGACAUACGCGUGAAGAACGUAGCGCAGACGUAUUCUCUUGAGCACCAAGGUGAAGGCACCCUCUUCGACCAUCUGUUUGAGCUGCUAAAUUCCGCCACGGAGAUCGAUGAAAGUUAUCGAAGGGAGUUGGCUAGCAGUACUGGAGUCAGACAUCUGUUAGCGAGCACUUGGCUAAAGAACAGAAACAGGUGUUCCCGUUACUUAUUGAGAAGUUUAAGCAUGAAGAGCAAGCGUACAUAGUCUGGUGGUUUCAAGCGGACCUUGUUCAUCUUUCCUAUCUCAUGCUUAAGUAUGCUGCUUACCAUUUUGAAUUCUAUCUUCACCUGGUUGGGAGGGAAAAGCGAUACUAUGGCUUCGCGUGGUGUAGAAGAUUCUUCGUUCCAUUGUUGUCUAGAUUCUUCUAGCAGCAUGCUUCCGUGCAAAACUAGUAGAGCACAGUGCCCAUGUGAGGGAUCCAAGGCCGGGAAGAGAAAGUACCCAGAGCUUACCGAGUAUGAUGCUCCUAUGCACCCAAUUGAUGAGAUAAAAAUUUGGCACAACUCAAUCAACAAGGAGAUGAAGGAAAUAACCGACGAGGCUAGGAAAAUUCAGCUGUCUGGAGAUUUUUCGGAUUUAUCUUCAUUUGAUGAACGCUUGCAAUAUAUUGCUGAAGUAUGCAUCUUCCACUGUCUUGCACAGGACAAGAUCAUAUUUCCAGCAGUAGAUGGGAGCUUUCAUUUUCUGAGGAGCACGAUGAAGAAGAAAACCAGUUUAACGAGUUUCGAUGCUUAAUUGAAAAAAAUCAAAAGUGCUGGAGCGUCUUCUACUUCUGCUGUUGAGUUUUACACCAAGCUGUGCUCACAUGCGGAUCAAAUAAUGGAAAUUAUUCAAAGGCACUUCCACAACGAGGAAAUUCAGGUGCUACCCCUUGCACGAAAGAACUUCAGCUUUAAAAAACAACAAGAGAUUCUCUACCAAAGCCUGUGCAUAAUGCCCUUAAGAUUAUAAUUGAACGUGUUUUGCCAUGGUUGACUGCAUCUUUAACAGAAGAUGAAGCUAAGAAUUUUCUGAAGAACUUGCAAGCUGGAGGGCGGCGAGUUUCUCCAAAGAAAAAAGUGAAGUCAUGCUGCUUCUGAAAGCUCUUCAAGAUAUUGGUUUUGAUCUUCCUGUCAGGCUUUUAGUUGGAAGACCUGAGUUGCUAGUUUCUGAGGUGGAUGAAUGGUUCGAGAAACUGAAACCCAUAAAGGACAAUGCUGCUCUCAAUUUUGCCAAUGCUCUUUUGAAUCUUCUCUGGGCAUUUGAACUAAGAGCUACUGCAUCAUGGGUAUUCCAGUUGGCAAUCAAAAGGGGUAUCUUCAGUCGCGACGUUUUCAGGCCAGAUCCUAGUCAACACUUGUUUAGUGCAAACGCUUAGGUGUUUAGCAGUCACAUUAAUGAUUGGUUUUGAUUUUCAGGGUGGCGGACAAGGACUGAGGUGCUGAUUUUAGAAGAUUGUCCGCAGGAUGCAUCAACGGUAUCUCCCUGGACAAAACACUGAAGGCAUGUCUUUGGGAGAUAGGCUCUCCAUUUCUUCCCUGGAAGACGAAAACAGGACUUCUAGUGGCGAAAGCUCACUCUCUCAGAAUGUGGAAAGUCGUUAGGAGAUAUGGGUGUUUAUUUCCGCAUGCUAGAUGCACUGUUAGCUGCAGAAGAAUACAAAGAUCGCUCUGUGUCAGGACACUUUAUGUAAUGACUGUGAACGCAAAGGAAGGACACGGUUCCAUUGGUUGUACCAUAAAUGCGGUACAUGCGGCUCUUACAACACCCGUGUGAUCAGAUCAGAAACAACAACCACCCCAACCCCAGACUGCUCAACCUCAUCCUGAAAACAAUGUGAGAAAUUUUUCACUCUCGUUUCCCUUUUUCUAAAUGUUGAUUUCAGUUUCUGUUUCGCACAACGAUGUGGUGAAGAAGGAAACUUGUAACAAAAAGGUCCGUUGAUAGAAUGUUCAUAUGUACACAUGAAGUUAUAUGAUGUUGAGGGUUUUUUAAUUCAUGCUCUGUUUUAUUUUUCUUUAAUUGUAGACAAAUAAAAAAAAAUGGUUUCUUUAAUUGGGAAACUUAAAGUUUCCUCUUUUUAUUU